rnacentral:rRNA from 1 species
AGCCUUUAGCCCUACUAGUAUUAAAGGUCUUGCCUGCCCAGUGACUCUUUAAACGGCCGCGGUAUCCUAACCGUGCAAAGGUAGCAUAAUCACUUGUCCCCUAAAUAGGGACUAGAAUGAAUGGCUAAAUGAGGACUAAACUGUCUCUUACAGGUUAGCCAAUGAAAUUGAUAUCCCAGUACAAAAGCUGGAAUAAACCCAUAAGACGAGAAGACCCUGUGGAGCUUUAAAACCAAGUCCACUGAAUAUGGAUCUUGAAUUUUUAGUUGGGGCGACUUUGGAGUAAAACAAAACCUCCAAGUAAAACCUCUAUUAAGAUCAACACACCAAAAUAGUAGCACAGACCCAGCAAUAUAUUCCACCAAUUGCCUGAUCAACGAACCAAGUUACCCCAGGGAUAACAGCGCCAUCCCCUUUUAGAGUCCCUAUCGACAAGGGGGUUUACGACCUCGAUGUUGGAUCAGGACACCCCAAUGGUGCAGCCGCCAUUAAAGGUUCGUUUGUUCAACGAUUAAAGUCCUACGU